rnacentral:lncRNA from 1 species
GAACCUGAUCUGGGUAUUCAGGGGAACAUGACCUCAUGAGGUCUAUAUAACACCUUCUUUCUGACUGGCUCUCAUCAUUUUACUUCCAUAAGAGUAGCUUUAGUCUGUGGUUGCUUUCAGACUUACAAGACUCUAAACUUCUUUCCUAUCGUCUCUAUCAUGUGAUGAGGGCAGAAUCCAGUACUCUGUACCCCGGGACAAGGCAAACUGUCUACAAUGUGUACGUGGACCGUUACUCAAAAAAAUAGACUGGACUAUUUAACGUGGUAGAUUUACUCAAAAUACCAUCUGUGAUUCAUCAGUAAUCCACUCACAUUUUUGAUCACAGAAAAAUGGAUCGAGUAUUCCCCAAUAUUUUUUAUUCAUGGAAGACCUUCAGGGGAAAAGGAACCACAAGGUUAGGGUUCACAGAGGAUGUAGCCUUGGAACCUCGUCCAUCCCCACGAAACUUCCCUGGGCCAUUGUGUCCUCUCGCUUAGCUUCUCCUCUCACACAUCCACUGAUGCUUCCAACUCUCC